UGAACUAUAGCUUAACUGGUAGAGCCUUUGGCGCGUAACCAAACGAUCCGGGUUCGAGUCCCGGUCUGGGCUGUCUGAA
rnacentral:tRNA from 1 species